rfam:Triticum aestivum genome assembly, contig: Triticum_aestivum_CS42_TGACv1_scaffold_050051_1BS
GGAUUCGAUCAUACCAGCACUAAAUUAGCGGAUCCCAUUAGAACUCUGAAGUUAAGCGUGCUUGGGUAAGAGUAGUACUAGGAUGGGUGAUCUCUUGGGAAGUCCUCGUGUUACAUUCC